GCCUUCAUGGCUCAGUUGUUAAUACUGCUGCUGCAGCACCGCCACCCGAUUGUGGGUUGGUCCAGGGUUCGAUUCCCUGUGGAGGCA